AGCCUGCUUUGGAUUCUUUCUCCCUCUCUCUCUGCCCCUCGCUCACUUACAUUAUCACGCGCACGCACGCCUAUCCCCUCACCCCCCAAAGUAAAUAACCAAACAUUAAAAAAACGUAAGGGUGUGAAAAACGGGCUUUGAAACUUUUAACUACAUUUCCUGGACGUCACUGUAUGACAGUCCUGCCUUAUCUGCAGUUUCACUUUCUGCAGAUUCGCUAUCGUCGGUUUAGGUUACCUGGCAUGAACUGUGGUCUCUGAGCCAACGGUCCUUCUGACGAAUCAUCAGAGGUUCAAUUGUAGCAUAACUCUACACUACAGUGCCUACGUCAUUCCCCUCACUUGGUCACGUAGGCAUUCUAUCAUCUCACAGCGUCAUAAGGAAGCCUUGCGAGACCCUGAACGGAGAAACUAGCAGAGAUCACCAGGACUUCUCAGCUCCAGGACUGUAUUUUGUCAUCUCACGUCAUCACAAGAAGAAGGGUGGAUACAGUACAACAAGAAAGAUUAUUUGGAAAUUGAACGGAGAAUGAAGGAGUGGCCAGCAUGGUGGCAGACCUCACAAAUAGGAGACCAGUUAGUUUGGAGGCUAUAUUUCCUGAUAUCUUUGGACUUUGAAAGCAUCGUCAUUACGGUUGCUGGAAGGCAAUGCUAGCCUUGACAGAGGACAAUGUGAAGAAAUCACCUGGGGAAAUGGCAGAGGUACCUAGAGUCGAUGUGGAUGUGAAAAGGCAAGAGCACACAUUUGUCAUCCAAGGGGAUACUUCUGAAUGUUUUUCCACUGAAACAAUGAUCCCUCUUCCAUGCGUGGCACACUCCUGAGAAAAGGCCAGUUCUAUGAGGUAAAAUUUACGAGAUGCCAUGGGAAGGUGCUAAACACCUGUCAGUCUACAUAGAGAAGAUGAUAAGCAAGUAAAGUGAAGAGUGCAAAAGAUGGUCCAUCAUUGGGUAAGUGUUAUCUAUAAGUGACAAUUCCUGAACUAAUAUUACACUGCAUGUUAACCAACUAGAAUGCAAACAAAUUGAUACAAAAAAAUAAAUUCUAGGUAAGGAUGAAAUAAAGUUAGAUGAUUGCCUCUGAAAGAUAUAUAUCUUUCAACUGAGGCACUUAUGUGUUUCUAGUAGUGAUUUUAGUUAAGGGGAAAACGUCUAUAAGUUAUUUGUGUUUAAAGGAAAAUGUCUAGAAGGUAUUUGUGUUUAAAACCAUUUGCCUUUAUCUCUUAUUAUUCUUGUAAUUUUUCUGAAAUGUAGAAGGCACAUAUCAAUACCUGUAAUUGCUGAUACGUUGCAUAUACAUAACUAAAGCAUAUAUACCCACUAAAUUAAAACCAAAUUUAUGUGUGCAUCUAUAUCUGUCAUGAGAUGAUUUCAACUGGCGAUAGAGUAACUGCAUUGCUUAGGCCACAAGAAGCAGCCCGUCAAUGGCCCGCAGACUCAGAAGGGAAGUGGUAUUUCCUUGGAAUUCAUAGAUCUGCCAUUACGUGUCCUCAUUUACUCACUCUCACUCAGCCCCUAUUAAAUAUCUGCGUAUACUUGGCAUUGUUUUAGAUGCUUCAGAUGUAAAGAAACACAUAGAUUUUUGUCUUUCUUCAGAUAUCUGAGAAACCAUUGGGGCUUUGACUGUAUGCCAUUUGUAAAUACAUAUGGAAAGCUAUCUGUGAUUACAAGAAGACCUGGGAGUGAUGUAGACAAAGUUCUGAAAGGCAAAUGAGAGCCUUUUGGAGCCAGUUAUACCUAAGACAAAUGGCAAAGGAUAGAGCAGAAAUCAGAUGCACAGAAAAGAAAAGGGAAGUGGUCCAGGUCACAGGGUUUUGCAACCUCAGCACUGUUGACAUUGUGGGCCAAUUAUUUCUUUGUGUGUAGGCAUUCUCACAUAUUCCCAGCCAUUGACAAAUGACACUUGGGGGUAGAGUUACCAGAUUUAGCAAACAGAGAUAAACACUAUAGCAAAUAAAUAUAAGACAUCAAUUCAAUUUGCAUUUUGGACAAAAAACAUUUUUUUUUAGUUUAAGUAUGUCCCAUAUUAUGUAUUGUUUGUCUGAAAUUCAAAUUUAAUGGGCAUCCUGUAUUUUUUCUGGCAACCCUAACUGCCUUAAAUUGCCUUAAAUUGGUUGAAAACUCUGAGUUAGAGGAUAACAUGAUCACAUUUUAUAUUGGAUAGCAUGAUCAAAUGUUAUAUUUGAUCCAUCAAUUUUUGGAGUUCAUCAGUUGGGUUUGAGGGACAAUGAGUUGACUAGGCUUUGGCAUAACCUUUUCAAUAGAUGUGUAUGUCCUCUGUGCCUUGGACUGUUCUAGGUAGAGGGUAUAGAGUACAGACAGAAGAGCAAAAUUCUCUGUCUGAUGGAGCUUACGUUAUCAUGAGGAGAAGACAACUAGUAAAUACAUAGCUGAGUAAAUUAUAAGAUCCAUCAGGCAGGAGAGACUAGGUUUUGGUGCUGUGGAAUCAAGCAAAACCCAAAAUCUCUAUAACUAAAAACGGUAGAGGAUUUUCCCCUGUGUUACAUGUCUAUCACAGAUGGCCACACCUGUCCUUCAAAUGACCUUUCCUCUAGCAGCCAAACUGACAGAGCAGCCUCUAUCUGCAAUAUUUGUGCUUGUCCUCAGUGUGGAAAAUGAGACUGUAGCAGAAUAUAUGCUGACUCUUAAGAUUUCUUAGCCAAAGCAACCACAUUUUUCUAAGUUGAGUGGGGUGGUAUAAAACUCCUACUGAUACAUGGUAACAGAAGAGAUAGAGCUUUAAAGAAGCUAAUGGAGGGGCGCCUGG